UUUGAUCCUUGAUUCAGAUUGAAGGCUUAGCGGGAUGCUUUACACAUGCAAGUCGAACGGCAGCACAGAGGAACUUUUUCUUGGGGUGGCGAGUGGCGGACAGGGUGAGUAAUGUAUCGGAACGUGCGCAGUAGUGGGGGAUAACUACGCGACAGCGUGGAUAAUACUGCAUAUUCUCUACGGAGGAAAGGGGGGGAUCAUUUGACCUCUCGCUAUUGGAGCGGCAGAUAUUAGAUUAGCUAGUUGGUGGGGUAACGGCCUACCAAGGCGAUGAUCUAUAGCUGGUUUGAGAGGACGACCAGCCACACUGGGACUGAGACACGGCCCAGACUCCUACGGGAGGCAGCAGUGGUGAAUUUUCGACAAUGGGGGGAACCCUGAUCGAGCCAUCCCGCGUGUGGGACGAAGGCCUUCGGGUUGUAAACCACUUUUCUCAACGAAGAAAAGCCUUAGAUUAAUACUCUGAGGUGCUGACGGUAGUUGAGGAAUAAGCACCGGCUAACUAUGUGCCAGCAGCCGCGGUAAUACAUAGGGUGCAAGCGUUAAUCGGAAUUACUGGGCGUAAAGGGUGCGCAGGCGGCUUGGAAAGAACGGUGUGAAAUCCCGGGGCUCAACCCCGGAACUGCACUAUUAACUAUCAAGCUAGAGUAUGUCAGAGGGGGGUGGAAUUCCGCGUGUAGCAGUGAAAUGCGUAGAUAUGCGGAGGAACACCAAUGGCGAAGGCAGCCCCCUGGGAUAAUACUGACGCUCAGGCACGAAAGCGUGGGUAGCAAACAGGAUUAGAUACCCUGGUAGUCCACGCCCUAAACGAUGUCAACUAGCUGUUGGGCCGGUUACGGCUUAGUAGCGCAGCUAACGC
rnacentral:rRNA from 1 species